GAUGAACGCUCGCUACAGGCUUAACACAUGCAAGUCGAGGGGCAGCAUGGUCUUAGCUUGCUAAGGCCGAUGGCGACCGGCGCACGGGUGAGUAACACGUAUCCAACCUGCCGUCUACUCUUGGACAGCCUUCUGAAAGGAAGAUUAAUACAAGAUGGCAUCAUGAGUCCGCAUGUUCACAUGAUUAAAGGUAUUCCGGUAGACGAUGGGGAUGCGUUCCAUUAGAUAGUAGGCGGGGUAACGGCCCACCUAGUCUUCGAUGGAUAGGGGUUCUGAGAGGAAGGUCCCCCACAUUGGAACUGAGACACGGUCCAAACUCCUACGGGAGGCAGCAGUGAGGAAUAUUGAUCAAUGGGCGAGAGCCUGAACCAGCCAAGUAGCGUGAAGGACGACUGCCCUAUGGGUUGUAAACUUCUUUUAUAAAGGAAUAAAGUCGGGUAUGGAUACCCGUUUGCAUGUACUUUAUGAAUAAGGAUCGGCUAACUCCGUG
rnacentral:rRNA from 1 species